AUGGACUGGUCAAAUGUGGAUGGUAUGAUGGAGAAUUUCUUUCCUAGGCAAUGUUUGAAUCUGGUGAACUAAAUCGUUUGGGUAUUACUUUCUGUUGAAUCUGUGUUUCUGAAUGGAUGAAUUUCAUUGCCUAUAAAUACAACGCAACUUCUCUGGAAAUUCCCUCUUGAGAUGUAGUUGGCAGUAGGACAGAACAUGUGUAGGUGUAAGAAUAUAGUUAAUGACUUGUCUUAAUCACACUAGUUUGAUACCUAGAUGCUAAAGUCUGUUGAACGAGCUAAAUUAGUUUUGGAAGGCGGUGUGCUAAUGGUUGAUGUAAUUUUAGAUGUAAAUGAAAACUUGUGAAGUUGGACGACGUGUAUCCAGUGUCCACGUGCUAGAAGCAGACUUUUUUGAAAUGGCUGUACCUGAAUUGAAUAAAUUCCAAAUUUGAUAGAUUGUUGAUAUAGUUUUACGUAGUUAAAUCGACAUGGUUGCAUUACUUAUAUUUAAGUGACUAAAAGCCAGCUACCAAAUGUUGAUCAUGGUGGCAAGAUGAAGCCGUGCUACAACGAAAAGCCAGGAUGGAAGCUUAGAUGCCCCGUCGAAAUUCAAGUGGUGACUUGAUUCAACUCAGGAUGUCGUCAGUCUUUCAAAAGAAAAUGAGCCAGUGGUCUCAUGAUACUUUACACAAGCCUCUAGAUGUAUUUAAUGCAACAACGAUGGAACUGUAAGUGGUUCUUGUUUCUGUAAAUUAUUCCCCUGAAUAAAUAUAUUUUAAGUUAUCUGCUUGUUUUCAUUUUGUGGGUGGUGUGUUCAAUGUUUGAUGGAAAGCAUUGUGACAUCAUAGUAACCAUUUUACUACCCGAAUGUCAAGAAUGCAGUGCAGUCUACACGAUUGGGUUUUAACUUGCAGCACAUUUCACGGUAGCCUAAUUGUUAAUAUUAAUUACUUAACUGUAUAAUUCCACAACUCAGAGCUCCAUAGAUGGAGACUAAUGACCCUCAGGUAAAGGAUGAUUCACUGCCAACUAGUAAAGGCAUAAAGUAACUCUUAAUUGCUGUAGACUUAUAAGCACCACUAUAAUGGAGAUAUUCUUAGGAAAUG